rnacentral:rRNA from 1 species
ACUCAAAGGAAUUGACGGGGACCCGCACAAGCGGAGGAGGAUGUGGUUUAAUAUGACGCUACGCGUAGAACCUUACCGAGGCUUGACAUCUCUGGAAUCCGUGAGAGAUCAUGGAGUGCCUUCGGGAACCAGAUGACAGGUGCUGCAUGGCCGUCUAAAGCUCGUGUCGUGAGAUGUUUGGUUAAGUCCAUCAACGAGCGCAACCCUUAUCGUAUGUUGUAUUUUUCAUGCGAGACUGCCUGGGCCAACCAGGAGGAAGGCGGGGCAGACGUCAGGUCGGCAUGGCCCUUACGCCUCGGGCCACACACGUCCUACAAUGGCCGGUACAAAGCGCCGCGAUACCGCGAGGUGGAGCUAAUCGCAUCAAAACCGGUCUCAGUUCGGAUUAGAGGCUGCAACUCGCCUCUAUGAAGUCGGAUUCGCUAGUAAACGUGGGUCAGCAUACCACGUUGAAUACGUUCCCGGGUCUUGUACACACCGCCCGU